CAUUAAAAUGACUGAAAGUAAGUAAUGACCUCUUAAGUCAGUCCAUAGUAAUUAACGAAUACUUUUAAUGA
rnacentral:tRNA from 1 species